AAGCCAGCCAAUUAAUCUGCUUAUCCAAAUGUGUUUCUGCAGAAAGUUAGAAAAAGCUUGCAAUAGUCAGUUCAUGUUAUGAGCCUUAAGUGCAACUGAGGUCAUUAAAGUCCCUGAAAAUGGCUGCAAUA
ensembl:snoRNA